rnacentral:pre_miRNA from 1 species
UGUCUGUCCGUCCGGCCGUCCGGCCGUCGGCCGUCGGUCGGUCGGUCGGUCGGUCGGUCGGUUGGUCUGUCGUCUGUCGUCUGUCGUC